CAUAAUAUUAUGUAACGGUGUGCCAUGUUUCAUACAGUUCCAUACAUUACUACGCAAUGGUACGCACUACGUCUA